AAUUACAUAAGAUUUAUUACAUAUUACAUAACAUUUAUUACAAAACAUUUUUGUUACAUACAUUGUUUUAUCCUGCACCUGACAUAACAGAGUGUGGUAUCACCUUCCCUUCCUGUGGGCAGGACUUCCAAGCCCUAUUAAAGUGCUCUUGCUGAAUACCGAGCCAUCCACUGGCUCUUCUAGAUCCCACUCAGUUCUGGAGCAUCUGAUUCACUGAGAUCCAAGAAAGAUGUCCUGCACCCAAAAUAAUAUGAUCAAUGUGCCUUGUCAGCCACCUGCCCCUGAGAAAAACACUAUCAAUAAGGGCAAUACUUGCAUUUCAGGAUCAGUUACUUCCUCUGGAAAUGAGAUACAGGGGAACAACAAUUCCAUUUCUGGCAAUACAUCUUCCCAGCCACAGAACCCUCCCCAGAAAUGAGAGCACCAGAUGCUAGAAGAACCAUGAAACUGGGAGUUCAAGCAUCUCCUUAGACACCUCUGCUCUUCCUACCCUCUCUGAAUCUGCAUGUUCCUCUGCCCUUGAAGUGCCCUGGAUGGAAUCCCUGGGAGAAGAACCUUUGUUCCUGCAGCUACACUCAUAUCAGAAAGAAGAAUCCAUCUUACUUCCAAGUUCUACCUCCAAGGAUGAGCAUCAACCAAGAAAGAGUCAACUUUAACCCUGUGAUGUCAGAGGAAAGGCAACUUAGAAAGAUCAGACUCCCCUGUUAUUUCAUCAUCUUUCUGCUCUGUACAGUGUGCUGUGUAAUCUCUGUUUGGAUUUCCAUCUUAGGGCCACUUUAACCCUUCUUCCACUUUUCUUGCAUCCUAAUAAAGCAUAUGUUUCAUGGUGA